ACGAACGCUGGCGGCGUGCCUAAUACAUGCAAGUCGAGCGAAGUUUUUCUGGUGCUUGCACUAGAAAAACUUAGCGGCGAACGGGUGAGUAAUACGUAAAGAACCUGCCUCAUAGACUGGGACAACUAUUGGAAACGAUAGCUAAUACCGGAUAACAGUAUUUCUCGCAUGAGAGAUAUUUAAAAGUUGGUUAUGCUAACACUAUGAGAUGGCUUUGCGGUGCAUUAGCUAGUUGGUGGGGUAAAGGCCCACCAAGGCGACGAUGCAUAGCCGACCUGAGAGGGUGAUCGGCCACACUGGGACUGAGACACGGCCCAGACUCCUACGGGAGGCAGCAGUAGGGAAUCUUCCGCAAUGGGCGAAAGCCUGACGGAGCAACGCCGCGUGAGUGAAGAAGGAUUUCGGUUCGUAAAGCUCUGUUGUUAGGGAAGAAUGGAUAUGUAGUAACUAUACAUGUAAGAGACGGUACCUAACCAGAAAGCCACGGCUAACUACGUG
rnacentral:rRNA from 1 species